GACGAACGCUGGCGGCGUGCCUAAUACAUGCAAGUUGAGCGCUGAAGGUUGGUACUUGUACCAACUGGAUGAGCAGCGAACGGGUGAGUAACGCGUGGGGAAUCUGCCUUUGAGCGGGGGACAACAUUUGGAAACGAAUGCUAAUACCGCAUAAAAACUUUAAACACAAGUUUUAAGUUUGAAAGAUGCAACUGCAUCACUCAAAGAUGAUCCCGCGUUGUAUUAGCUAGUUGGUGAGGUAAAGGCUCACCAAGGCGAUGAUACAUAGCCGACCUGAGAGGGUGACCGCCCACAUUGGGGCGGAGACCCGCCCCAACCCCCUACGGGGGGCAGCAGUGGGGAAUUUUCGGAAAUGGGGGAAAGUUUAACCGAGCAACGCCGCGUGGGUGAAAAGGGUUUUGGGAUCGUAAAACUGUGUUGGGAGGAAAGAACGUGGGGGGGAGGGAAAAGCCAUUCAGGGGCGGGAACCACCCCAAAAAGGGCCGCCAACCUCCGG
rnacentral:rRNA from 1 species